rnacentral:sRNA from 1 species
AAAACCAGUGUAAACAAAGAUGGCCGCCGCUAACGUCUGUGCACAGCAUGCUGCCAGAGUUGAUUGUUUUUUCGGUGUUUUGGUGAUGUUGUCUCGAUCUCAAAUACCAUUGGAAGUUAAAUCAGGUCGCCAAUAAUAGUAAGCAUCCCGAACCUUUUAUUGAAACUGAGAUGAAUUAAUGUUCCCAGACGAAUUUCAACAAGUCAGCCAACAAAUUAUGCAGCUAUGGGUCCAUUGAUGUACACAUCCACUCCUCAAAGAAAAAAGCCAGAGGUGUUCACCUGAUGACGACAGAGGAAUGUUAUUUCUUGACAAAUGGGUAGUUCCAGAGGGGUCAGAGAAGUGCAAAUGAAAUAUUCUUCUGGAAAAUACUUUCCUUCUAUAUUUAGACUUGGAUAAAACAUAGAAAAAAACCCUACAGGAUUGCUGAAAGAAAAAAACCCCAUCAAGUUGCUUGGCAUGAUUGAUCUGGAUGACUUUUACAACAUCUAAUAUCAUGGGUAAAAAUGAUAUUCCUGCAUAUGAAACAGUGAAAGUGUGCCGAAUAAGAAAGAAGAUCAAGAAGGGGGUCCAGGGAUUAUGUGAAGAAGUAAUUUGAAAGGAUAUAUUUAGAUGGCGGAGAAACUACCGUAACUAGAUUUGCAAGUCAUUAUAUAAAUGGCCACAUUCAUUUAAAUUAACCAAUGUUUUCCUAAGGAGUGGUUGAAUUUCCAGAAGAUAUCACUUGGAAUUUGUUUUUCUCAAUUUAAUCAUCUGUACAUUUUUCUUCAAUGAAUAAAGGAUGCAAACAAGACUAAAUUAAGAUGCUUUGAAGUUUGUCGGAUUGACCACAUGAGAGAGAGAGAGAGAGAGAGAGAGAGAGAGAGAGAGAGAGAGAGAGAGAGAGAGAAUAUGAACUUGUCUUCAUGCAUCAUGCACUGUAUGUAUAUGUUAUCAUAUAGCAUUUUAAUGCUCAAUAAAUUGUUAAAUUGUU